UGAACGCUGGCGGCGUGCUUAACACAUGCAAGUCGAACGAAGCAUUUAAGACAGAUUACUUCGGUUUGAAGUCUUUUAUGACUGAGUGGCGGACGGGUGAGUAACGCGUGGGUAACCUGCCUCAUACAGGGGGAUAGCAGCUGGAAACGGCUGGUAAUACCGCAUAAGCGCACAGUACCACAUGGUACAGUGUGAAAAACUCCGGUGGUAUGAGAUGGACCCGCGUCUGAUUAGCUUGUUGGCGGGGUAACGGCCCACCAAGGCGACGAUCAGUAGCCGACCUGAGAGGGUGACCGGCCACAUUGGGACUGAGACACGGCCCAGACUCCUACGGGAGGCAGCAGUGGGGAAUAUUGCACAAUGGAGGAAACUCUGAUGCAGCGACGCCGCGUGAGUGAAGAAGUAGUUCGCUAUGUAAAGCUCUAUCAGCAGGGAAGAUAGUGACGGUACCUGACUAAGAAGCUCCGGCUAAAUACGUG
rnacentral:rRNA from 1 species